rnacentral:rRNA from 1 species
AGUGAACGUUGGCGGCGUGGAUUAGGCAUGCAAGUCGAGCGAGAACCGUAGCAAUACGGGGACAGCGGCGAAAGGGACAGUAAUGUGUAGGUACCUACCCCGAGGUCUGGGAUAGCUGCGGGAAACUGCAGGUAAUACCGGAUAAUGUCUUCGGACCAAAGGUGUGAUUCCACCUUGGGAGGGGCCUGCAUCCUAUUAGCUUGUUUGCGGGGUAACGGACCACCAAGGCGACGAUGGGUAGCGGGUGUGAGAGGACGACCCGCGUCUUUGGGACUGAGACACUGCCCAGACACCUACGGGUGGCUGCAGUCGAGGAUAUUGUGCAAUGGGCGAAAGCCUGUCCGGGCGACGCCGCGUGCGGGAUGAAGGCCUUCGGGUUGUAAACCGCUGUCGUAGAGGAGGAAAUGCAGGGGGGUUCUCCCUUCUGUUUGACCUAUUCUAGGAGGAAGGACGGGCUAAGUUCGUGCCAGCCGCCGCCGUAA